ensembl:lncRNA
GCAAGAGGCAGCCCCAACCUGCACAUCUUUUGCCCAGACCGAUGUGUUCUGGUCCUGGAAGAAGAUUCCAGUGGGUAGGGAGACUGGAGGAAGAACCCUGAGCUUGGAUAGUGGACCCGGAGACCAGAGCAGAUCUCAUUUCGCUGAGGAUUGGUGAAAACGUCGCUGGUCAACCUGGAAAAGACAGGCUGGGAUUCAGAUUGGAGCCUCUGGCCUGGAAGAACCCGUCCUUCAAAUUCUUGCUCCCAUCUUUUUCCGUCUCUCCAAUUCCUCUGUCAAUUUCUCCCUGUCUCUCCUUUUACCUACACACACACAUAUGCACAUGCACACAUGCCUGUGUGUGCAUGUGCACACACACACACACACACACACACACAUUUCAAAGCUCCAAAGAGAGAUGUGCUAUGUAUCAGAACCAGGUCUUGGGCAGAAAAGAAAGGCAAUCUCUUCUAUUCCAAAUCCGGAGUCCCUAACUCUGAAAGGAG